CCUACGGGGGGCAGCAGUGGGGAAUAUUGGGCAAUGGGCGCAAGCCUGACCCAGCAACGCCGCGUGAAGGAAGAAGGCCCUCGGGUUGUAAACUUCUUUUAUCAGGGACGAAGCAAGUGACGGUAACUUAUGAAUAAGGAUCGGCUAACUACGUGCCAGCAGCCGCGGUCAUACGUGGGGGCCGAGCAUUAUCCGGAGUGACUGGGUGUAAAGAGGUGCGUAGGUGGCAUAAUGAGUAGCUAGUGAAAUCUGGUGGCUCAACCAUUCAGACUAUUAGCUAAACUGGUAAGCUGGAGAACGUUAGGGGUAACUGGAAUUUGUAGUGUAGGAGUGAAAUCCGUAGAUAUUA
rnacentral:rRNA from 1 species